rnacentral:rRNA from 1 species
AUGAAGCACAUGAAUAAGUUAACCAGUGCGAUCAGACAUAGAGAAAAUAAAUACUGGGUGCCAAGCGAGGGUCUGAAUGACGCCUCGAGCGGAAACUGCAGAAUAGUAAUGCGGGUGCCAAACGAGUGUCUGAAAGACUCCUCGAGAGGAAAAUGCGGAAUAAUAAUACAGGUGCCAAACGAGUGUCUGAAAGACUCCUCGAGCGGAAAAUGCGGAAUAGUAAUACUGGUGCCAAACGAGUGUCUGAAAGACUUCUCGAGCGGAAAAUGCGGAAUAGUAAUACUGGUGCCAAACGAGUGUCUGAAAGACUCCUCGAGCGAAAAAUGCGGAAUAGUAAUACUGGUGCCAAACGAGUGUCUGAAAGACUCCUCGAGCGGAAAAUGCGGAAUAGUAAUGCCACAGUCGGGCGUCGGGGCGACACCACAUAAAGGGCUUAUAACAGAAAGUAAAGACAGUACAUGCCACAGUCGGACGUCUGAGCGACAUCACAUAAAGGGCUUAUAUUUAAAGUGA